UACGAAGGGGGCUAGCGUUGCUCGGAUUUACUGGGCGUAAAGAGCGCGCAGGCGGUCGUGCAAGUCGCGUGUGAAAGCCCCCGGCUCAACUGGGGAGGGUCACGCGAUACUGCUCGACUUGAAGGCAGGAGAGGGAAGUGGAAUUCCCGGUGUAGUGGUGAAAUGCGUAGAGAUGGGGGAGAACACUCGUGGCGAAGGCGGCCAGCUAGACCAGUUCUGACACUGAGGCGCGACAGCGUGGGGAGCAAACAGG
rnacentral:rRNA from 1 species